GUAAAAAUAAACUAAACUAAGUUAUAGGUGUCAUCUGCCUAAAAUGUAAAUUUUAAAUUACUUUUUACU
rnacentral:tRNA from 1 species